UGCUCAUGAUUUUAUUAAAUUGCUAAAGUAUUUUGACUUUACAAAGGUAUUGAAAUAAGGCUUUAAUUGGGCGCUAAGAGAAUGGAUUAAUGAAGUUUAAUUUUAUGUUAUUUAAUAUUAAAAUUUCAUUUAAAAAUGAAAAAGUUUUUGUAUUUUUAUGGGACGAGAAGACCCUAUGAAUUUUAAAUUAUUUAAUAUAUUAAAAUAUAUUUUAUAUUUUAAAUAAUUUUGGUUGGGGCGACAUAAAAAGAAUUAGUAUCUUUAUUUAUGAUGAUUUUUUAAAUGUAAUUAUAAAAAUACUCUAGGGAUAACAGCGUUAUUAUUAUGGAUAGUUCAUAUUGGUAUAAUAGUUUGCGACCUCGAUGUUGAAUUAACAUACCUUAAAAAAGUAGAUGUUUUUAAAGGAAGAUUGCUCAUCUUUUAAAUUGUUACGUGAUCUGAGUUCAGACCAGA
rnacentral:rRNA from 1 species